AUUGACAUUACAUUAAGACGAAUCUUUCAGUGACAACAUAAUUCUCGAAGAUAUAUUAAACGAACAUUAUCCGAAAAUAAGAAUAUUAUUUAGAACUUAGAUUUAUAAAGUUAGUAUAACGUUUAUUAAAUUGCUUGGAAUUGGCACGCAUGUGAAAGAUCCCUUGGCAGUUGGUUGGAAUUCCAGAUAAGAGCAGGUCAUAGCGACGUGUCCAUCUUCAUUUGUGUAGUCGAUGCAGAAAAGUAGGCGUUAAAAUCCAUUACAUUUGGGCAAGUGUAUGUGUUGGCGUGCAUGUAGAUGAACCAGUGAUAGUUGGAAUUCGAAAUAGAGUAGGGUUUAGUACUACUGUUCUGGGAAAAGACACUCAUUUAAAGUGCCAGAGAGAAGUAAAAAAACAAAAAAAAAAAAAAAAAAAAAAUGGCAGCUGCCGAAACAGAGACCAACACAAGUGAUAACUGCGUCCUACUUGAGGGUGAACUGAAAGAUAUUCCGUUACAUAAAUUUGGUUUAUAUUUUGAAAAUAAGUCUAAAUCUAGAGGUGGUCCUUUAAGAAAAGAUCCUGUUAUACUGAAGCACGGUAUUUUAGUGGAAUUUGAAUUUUCAGAAGCUGUGCAAGGUGUUAUCGAAAAAGGAACCCAUACAAUUGGUAAAAAUCAGUACAAAGCGUUGAAAUAUCAGAAGAUACCACACUAUCUCAAUAAAAUAUUAGUUAGAAACAUUCCAGAGAAAGCUGAUACGGAUGACCUUCAAAACUUUCUUGAGGCCUUGUUAUCAGAUCAACCAGUAGAAGUAGAGACGGUUCGCUAUUGUGAAGACCCGAAGGAUGCAGUGUAACCGGUAGCCGUAGCUAUCUUAAUUAUUUGUAUUUCGUUUUCCGGAAAAGCACUCCGUAGUUCUAUAUUUAGACUAUGGGUGUAAGUCUUUGGUACCUAUCGCUACUCUAGUAAAAUCUAUCGUUUUCUCGGCACAGUCAUCGCCUGUUUAAUAUUUUGAUAUUUUUAUAUUGUGUAAGAGUAUAUAUUUCUAAUUGAGCAUGCUGCCUAUGUUUUUAUUAUUGUUAAUUGUGUCUGCCGACUGUAUUUUCAAGCAAGAACUUUACUAUGUAUUUGUAUGUACUUUCACUUAGUUUGUUAUAAUAUUAAGCGGGCAGAAUUUGUAAGUAAACAUUUUUGAUGGGAACUUAUAUGUAUCUGGUAGAUAAAUUAUCUAGCUAUCCGUGCCUAUCCUUAGUUUUGUGGUGCCUACUUUGUGUCAAAAGUUCUGCAUAUUUUUUGGAUAGUACCCGUGUCUGGAUUUUAGAUUCCAUGCCGACUUGUCCAAGGGAGAUAAUAUUAGCUUCUUGUAUAUCAAGAAUUUAUUAAUUAGUAGGCAUGUUUAAUUUAAGACUUAUUUAGUAUAUUUUAUCCUUUCAAAUUAUUAUUUAUGCAUGUUGUAAGCGAUGUGUCAUGUUGGUUUAGUUGAGGCAUCGGUUCUUUUAUUUAUUUUGUGUCUGUUAGUUUAGGAUUUCACCCUACCUUUUAUUACUAGGUGGAUGAAUAAGUUGAGUCUCAUUGCCUCCAUGCAUUAGCCUUUUGUCUUCUAGACUGGAUAGUAUUAUCCUGGCUCAAGAAAGUAUUUUUAUGAAAGUGUAAUUAACAGCGUUUGGUCUUUGUAUAUUUAGCCUUUUCGUCUUGAAAACUGGAUAUUAUUAUCCUGGCUCAAGGAAGUGUUUUGACAGCGUUUGAACACAGUGUUUUAUUUAUAUUUAGUCUUUAUGUCUGGUAGUAGAAAGUGUUUUGUAAGUAAUUAUUAAUAUUACAUAGUUAGAGACGACCACAAAUCGUCCCGAAGCCACGUAAUUUCGGAUACCCGAAUUUGACCUUGCUAUCCCCAACCGAAAAUUAUAUGUAUCAUAUAUGUUUCUAAUUUUUAUUAAAACCUUUAUAAGUUCCUGUUGUUUCAGUGUCUAUUAAUUUAUUAGACUAACAGUGUGCGGGUAACAGCAGUUGUUUCUUUCAAGGAUGAUAUAGGUAUUGAUCAUAUACAUCCAACUCUGCGUGUAAAGUUUCUUCUGUCUUUUCUGACCCUAGUGUCCAUGAGAUGCUAAGAUCCCUUCUAUUCAGACCAGUAAAACACAUGAAAAUCUUAAUCCCGAAUUCGUGAACUCUCCAUGUCUAACAUUAUUAAUGAAUUUCAGCUUCAAUCAUGAUUAUUAGGUCGAAAUGAUAAUGUAGGACAGAAUGAUUUCGAAGGGUUUUUAUACGCCAUCAGUUUCAAGUGGACGUAUAUUGUUGUCGCCCAUCUGUCCGCAACAAGUCACAAUUUUUAUCUGAUUUUGUCGAAACUUGAGAUAUACACAUUAUCAGCAACUUUGAGUUACAGUUCUUGUUUUAGAAAUCGCAUGGAUAUCUAGUUAGUUACUGGGUCUAUUAGAGUUUUUAUGCAUCCACAUUUUCAUGUCGACGCACAUUGAUGUCACUACUGUCCGUCGGGACGCCCCUCCUUUCACAGUUUGUUUCUUGACAAUCUACAGGUCACAAUUCUUAUCCGAUUUUGUCGAAACUUGAAAUAUAGGUUUAUCUCCCAAGGAUCUCUGUUGCAUUCGAUAUUUGCAUGUAUCGGGCUGUAAAUUCAUGGAUUAUGGCCCCUGAUUGUACGAAACAUCACGUUUUUAUCUUGUGGACACUUUGAUGAAACGUGUAAUAUAUGUUUAUAACCCAAGAAUCUCGGUUUCUGUCGAUAUUCACACAUUUUUAGCUUGUGGACCAUCUACAGCUCACAAUUUUUAUCUAAUUUUGAUGAAACUUUGUAUAUAUUUUUAAAUCUAGCCUAUCGGACCAUAACUUCCUGGAUUGUGGCCCCUGAUUGUUCGACCCUCAAGAGGUCAUAUUUAUUAUUGAUUUUGAUGAAAUAUAAAAUAUAUGUUUAUAUCCCAACGAUCUUGGUUCUAUUUGAUAUUGUUGCAUGUCGGGCAGUAAAAUCCAGGAUUAUGGCCCCUGAUCGUACGAAAAUUCGCUUUUUUAGCUUGUUCUCUGUCCAUUUCUUGCAAAAUGUGGGCGUACCUUGCAUGACAACCACUUGUUGGAACUCUGCAAACUGGCUUUUAUAAUUAGUAAGCUUAUAUUUUGAUUGUAAACAUCAUCAUUGGUAGUGGAUGCAUUUACAUAUUGACCUGUAUAUACAUGUAUGUAUAAAAUAUCUAUAAAUUUAUUGGACUUAUA